UACAGAGGUGGCAAGCGUUGUUCGGAAUUACUGGGCGUAAAGGGCGCGUAGGCGGUUCGUUAAGUCCUGUGUGAAAUCCCCCGGCUCAACUGGGGAACUGCACAGGAAACUAGCGGGCUUGAGUUCGGGAGAGGGAAGCGGAAUUCCUGGUGUAGCGGUGAAAUGCGUAGAUAUCAGGAGGAACACCGGUGGUGUAGACGGCUUUCUGGACCGUAACUGACGCUGAAACACGAAAGCGUGGGUAGCAAACAGG
rnacentral:rRNA from 1 species